rnacentral:rRNA from 1 species
CCCCCGGACGGGUUCUGAGACACUAACCCGGGCCCUACGGGGCGCAGCAGGUGCGAAACCUCCACAAUGUACGCAAGUGCGAUGGGGGAAUCCUAAGUGCUGGCGCAAUGCGUCAGCUUUUCUCGAGUCUAAAUCGCUUGAGGAAUAAGUGGUGGGUAAGACCGCUGCCAGUCGCCGCGGUAAUAGCGGCGCCACGAGUGGCAUCCAUUUAUAUUGGGUUUAAAGCAUCCGUAGCCGGCCUGAUAAGUCUACUGUGAAAUCCUAUAGAAAACUGUAGGGCGUGCGGUAGAAACUAUUACGGCUUGGGACCAGGAGAGGUCAGAGGUACUCCUAGGGUAGCGGUAAAAUGCUGUAAUCCUAGGGGGACCCCCUGUGGCGAAGGCGUCUGACUGGAAUGGAUCCGACGGUGAGGGAUGAAAGCUAGGGGAGCGACCCGGAUUAGAUACCCGGUUAGUCCUAGCUGUAAACGAUGCUCACUUGGUAUUGGAAAUCUUUCGUGGAUUUCCAGUGCCGAAGGGAACCCGCCUCCUUCCCACCUGGGGAGUACGGUCGCAAGGCUGAAACUUAAA